UCAAGUUUUGAUUCGUGUCU
rnacentral:siRNA from 1 species